AUAAAGUGGAUUAGCGGCGGACGGGUGAGUAACACGUGAGUAACCUGCCUUAGACAUUGGGAUAGCCUCGGGAAACCGGGAUUAAUACCAAAUAAAAUCAUAAUGACACAUGUCAUAACGAUCAAAACUCCGGUGGUCUAAGAUGGACUCGCGUCCCAUUAGCUAGUUGGUAGGGUAAAAGCCUACCAAGGCGACGAUGGGUAGCCGGCCUGAGAGGGUGAACGGCCACAUUGGAACUGAGAAACGGUCCAA
rnacentral:rRNA from 1 species